rnacentral:piRNA from 1 species
ACGUAUUUGGUCUCUAAAGG